AGCUCCAAUAGCGUAUAUUAAAGUUGCUGCAGUUAAAAAGCUCGUAGUUGCAUUUCCGAGGCAAGGGAUUAGUCCGACCUUUGGUGGGUAUUUAAUCCUCUUGCCUCGUCCUUGAGUGGUGCUUCUUGGUAUUAAGUUAUCGAGGAGAUAGCCGCUCAUCGUUUACUGUGAGAAAAUUAGAGUGUUCAAAGCAGGCUUAUGCCGUUGAAUAUAUUAGCAUGGAAUAAUAAGAUAGGACCUCGGUACUAUUUUGUUGGUGUGAGAACCAAGGUAAUGAUGAAUAGGGACAGUUGGGGGUAUUCGUAUUCAGUUGUCAGAGGUGAAAUUCUUAGAUUUACGGAAGACGAACUACUGCGAAAGCAUUUACCAAGGAUGUUUGCA
rnacentral:rRNA from 1 species